AAAUUAACGGAGCCGUAGCGAAAGCGAGUCCAAAUAGGGCGCUUAGUCAGUGGGGGCAGACGCGAAACUUUGUGAUCUAUCCAUGGGCAGGUUGAAGGUUAGGUAAAACUAACUGGAGGACCGAACCCGUUGACGUUGAAAAGUCUUGGGAUGACCUGUGGAUAGGGGUGAAAGGCCAAUCAAACUCAGAGAUAGCUCGUUCUCCCCGAAAUGUUUUUAGGAACAGCCUCGGAUUUAGAAGUAUGUUAGAGGUAGAGCUACUGAUUGGGCUAGGGGGCUUCACCGCCUACCAAACCCUGACAAACUCCGAAUGCUAACAUAUAUCUCCGGGAGUGAGGCUGCGGGUGCUAAGAUCCGUGGCCGAGAGGGAAAUAACCCAGAAUAGCAGCUAAGGUCCCUAAUAAGUAGUUAAGUUGAUCAAACGAGGUGAGACUUCUAUAACAGCCAGGAUGUUUGCUUGGAAGCAGCAAUUCAUUUAAAGAGUGCGUAACAGCUCACUGGUCGAGAGGUCUUGCACGGAAAAUAAUCGGGCAUCAAACUACUAACCGAAGCUCUAUGAUUGCCGCUAGGCGGUAUAUCGGUAGGGGAGCAUUCUGACUGCAUCGAAGGUGUACGGUGACGUAUGCUGGAGCGGUUAGAAAAGAAAAUGUAGGCAUAAGUAACGAUAAAUAAGGUGAAAAACCUUAUCGCCGAAAGUCUAAGGGUUCCUGAUCAACGUUAAUCGGAUCAGGGUUAGCCCGGUCCUUAGUCAAACCCGAAAGGGGUAGACGAUGGAAAGCAGGUUAAUAUUCCUGCGCCUGCUAUACACUAAAAGUGACGGAGAGCCGUGGUCGCUACGUACUGACAGAAUAGUGCGUUCAGUGGAGUCUUCGGACGAAGCGAAGUGAUAAAAGCUCUUCCAAGAAAAGCGAGUAUAGCAGCCGGUACCGCAAACCGACACAGGUAGACGGGAUGAGUAUUCUAAGGCGCUCGGGUGAGCCGUGGAGAAGGAACUAGGCAAAUUGACGCUGUAACUUCGGGAUAAAGCGUACCAUCUUAGGAUGGUCUCAGUAAAUUGGUUCAACCAACUGUUUAACAAAAACACAGGGCCCUGCAAAAUCGAAAGAUGACGUAUAGAGCCUGAUACCUGCCCGGUGCUGGAAGGUUAAGGAAGGAUGUUCGGCGCAAGCCAAAGCUUCUGACUGAAGCCCCAGUAAACGGCGGCCGUAACGAUAACGGUCCUAAGGUAGCGAAAUUCCUUGUCGGGUAAGUUCCGACCUGCACGAAUGGUCUAAUGAGUUGAACGCUGUCUCCUCCACGAGCCCGGUGAAAUUGUAGUAUCGGUGAAGAUGCCGGUUACCCGCCACGGGACGGAAAGACCCCGUGAACCUUCACUACAGCUUUGCAUUGAUUUUGAAUUACC
rnacentral:rRNA from 1 species